rnacentral:rRNA from 1 species
GAGGGAUAAGCACCGGAAACGGUGUCUAAUACCGCAUAUGCUCUUCGGAGUAAAGCUUUAUGCGCUUUGGGAGCGGCCUGCGUCCGAUUAGAUAGUUGGUGAGGUAAAGGCUCACCAAGUCGACGAUCGGUAACUGGUCUGAGAGGAUGAUCAGUCAGACUGGAACUGAGACACGGUCCAGACUCCUACGGGAGGCAGCAGUAAGGAAUCUUCCACAAUGGGCGAAAGCCUGAUGGAGCAACGCCGCGUGCAGGAUGAAGGCCUUCGGGUCGUAAACUGCUUUUAUAAGUGAAGAAUAUGACGGUAACUUAUGAAUAAGGAUCGGCUAACUACGUGCCAGCAGCCGCGGUCAUACGUAGGAUCCGAGCGUUAUCCGGAGUGACUGGGCGUAAAGAGUUGCGUAGGUGGUCAGUAAAGCGAAUGGUGAAAUCUGGGGGCUCAACCUCACAGACUAUUAUUCGAACUCACUGACUCGAGAACAGCAGAGGUAACUGGAAUUUCUGAAGUAGGGGUAAUAUCCGUAGAUAUCAGAAGGAACACCAAUGGCGUAGGCAGGUUACUGGGCUGUUUCUGACACUGAGGCACGAAAGCGUGGGGAGCGAACCGGAUUAGAUACCCGGGUAGUCCACGCCGUAAACGAUGGAUACUAGCUGUUGGAGGUAUCGACCCCUUCAGUAGCGAAGCUAACGCGUUAAGUAUCCCGCCUGUGGAGUACGGUCGCAAGACUAAAACAUAAAGGAAUUGACGGGGACCCGCACAAGCGGUGGAUCAUGUUCUUUAAUUCGAU